rnacentral:lncRNA from 1 species
GCCCGAUAAAAUGUUCCAAAGAGCCGACAACCUCCACGUGUUGAAACUCUGCCACUGCACCUUUAACUUUUCUUUGCCUCCUUUUCUUUGUUGCAAAAACCUCAGGUUCCUUGGAUUAGAUAGCUGCAAGGAUCAACCACAAAGAGUAGAAGAAAUCAAUCAACAAGAAGAUGAAGAAGAGCAUGACUAUUGUAGACAGACAACAGAAUUCUUUCAAAGCCUAUGGGUGCUCGACAUAUCUUGUACCGAUUGGGAACUGAGUUUAUCCCCAAAUACCCAAGAGAAAACAGCAACAAGCAUCAGGGAGAUCAAUAUAAAGAGAGGAAGAAUCUGGCACAAAAGCCAUGCAUGGACAUGGAGACAUCUACACAACAUUCACAAGCUGAGAGUCAUUGAGCCUACGUGCCCUUGGGAGACAGGCAACAUGGAUGAAUUAUCAGAUAUGGUGAAGCUGGAGCUCCUAGACUUGACAGGGAAUAGCACAAUACAAGUUUUGCCGAGCUUGUCAGGAGCAAUUGGGCUCAAGACACUGGUUCUAGAUGGUUGCGUUGGGAUGGAACAUGUUGGCCCCCAAUCAUUUCCUCCAUGUCUUGAAACAUUUAGCUUUGAUGCAGGGGAAGGACAGGGCCACGACAAGGAAGCUAAAAUCUCCCGUAUCUCCAUGGCUGGUUGUGUAAGACUGGUAAAAUUCAGAUUGGGUGGAUAUCUCCCAAACCUUGAGGAGCUGGACCUCUCUAGCACAUCGCUGAAAGCACUGGACCUCAAAGAUGAGUUGGUGCAGGCCCCAUGUCUACAACAGGUCAUUCUGUUGGGAUGCCAGCAGCUCCGGGCAGUUCUUUGGCCCAAAAGGGAGCAGCCAAACUCAGAAUCCUAAGCAUUUCUACUGGGAACAUUAGGCUCAUUCAGUCAUUAUUGGUGCUAGGGGAUCCAAAGAUUAAUGUUCGUCUCCGCUUAUCUCAUCCUAGAAAAGACAACGAUGGUAGGGAGACAAUGGCUCCACAUGGCACUGGACUAUUGUCUGAGUUUCCUCAGCACAAGUCACCAGUUUUAAGGACUCACCACCACACCUACAGUGAUAUCAACUUUGACAUUGACUAUGAAGGAAGCAGAGCAAUCCAGUUUGAGCCAGUGGACCUCCAUUUAGAGAUUGGCGAAGGAAUAAGCAACAUUAAUGUGGUCACCGAACAAGGAAUUAGAUCCAUAAUCCGUUUCAUGAACAGGGUCAAGCCACUGCUCCUGCAGGAUAACUCUUCCAUCACCACUGUAAUCCCCCAAGGAAUGAUUUCCAUAACAGAGGAGCUUGAGCAGAUAAAUUGGUCUAGUUUGAAAUGGUGCCACGUUGAGAGAUGCCCCAAAUUGGAUUCUGCGUUCACCACAAACUAUGAUACUGUACUGUCUGCUUUGAGGAACUAGAAACCUUUUCAGGGGCUGAUCUCUUGAUGACCCGUUGUAUUUGGAGCAAAGGAAGGGCAGUCAGUAUCGAGGAUGAUAAAGCAUUUGCCAAACUGCGGGCUAUAAAUCUUCGUACAUGUCCUAGGCUCACAUUUGUUCUCCCAUUGUCAUGGUUCUAUAGCUUGUCCAGCCUGGAGACCCUCUGCAUUGUCCUCUGUGGUGAUCUCAGACAGGUCUUCCCGGUGGAGGCAACAUUUCUGAAUGAAUUAUUUGCUCUCUGUCAUCUUGGAGGAGUAUUAGAAUUCCCAAAGUUGAAGAACAUCCGCCUACACAAUCUCCCCAAGCUACAUCAGAUAUGUGAGGCCAAGAUGUACACCCCAAAACAUGAGACCAUCUGGGUGAGGGGAUGCUGGAGCCUCAAGUGCCUGCCGGCCACCCUCCGACCACCGCAACAGCCGACCAGUCGUGGACUGUGAGAAGGACUGGUGGAACAAGCUGGUGUGGGAUGGAAAGAAGGCCCACCACCACCCCUCCCUCUUCCGGCCACACCACUCCAAGUACUACAAGAAGACCCUGCUCAGAAGCUCAGUUCUCCGGUGAGCCAACCUGAUGAUGUGGACUAGCAGCUCCACUCAAUCCACGUCUAGGUACAGAAGAAUAAUAACUAACUAGUUUCAUCUCACAUCCUUUUUCUCUGCUCUUCAUGCAAAUAUCUUUCUGUUUGCAGCAACAAACACAAAGCAUCAAUGCUUAGCAAGCUAUAGUUAUUAGUCUCUCCUAGCAGGACUUCUUCAUUACUAAUUUUUUUUCCCUGUAAACCACUUAUAUUAUUAAGUAUUAACUCUCCAGGUUUAAUUUGCAGGUGCGUUUGUGAAGAAGGUUUAAUUUGCAGGUGGAUACAUGACUGUGAUAUCUCAGCUGCUUCCUAUGCAUGCUUCCGUUGGAUUCCUUUACCAAGUCUUCUAUUUGUUUUCUCCAUAAUAAAUAGGUGUUUGAUGCUGGUUGCAUUGCAUCCACCGAGUUGCAUUGGGUGUGCUUGCUACUAAAUUAGUUUGUGUGUGAAACACCACUUAUUUGCUUGGUAUUGUCUGUGUAUUUUGUGUGUAUGCUUGAAAUAAGUGGGUGCCAUUUUCCUUGAUGCAUCUGUACCAUAGUCAGACCAUGACCCUCAUGGUGUACUGUGUGUGUAAGCUGCAAAUUAAAGACUUGAUAAUUUGCAUGCGUGAUGGAUGACUCAGCAGCAUGCUACUGCUGCUAAUAUAUUUCAAAUGGUUUGGUGUGACCUAGACGAUCUAAGUGUUACCGAUUUCACUGCGGUGGUAUGAACGCAUGAGGGAGACCAGGUUUAUACUCUGGUGCAUGUAGUUGUUGUCAAAGGUGCAUGUAGUUGUUUUCAAAAUUUCUUUGGAGUCAAUGAGAAUCGUCAAAACACCCAAAUGACCAUAGGUUACACAGGGCCUGUUAGAGGGCAACGUUCCGAGAGUUUUAGCCAAUACCCAACCUCUCAUAAGAUCCGAUUACUAAGGGUACUGAACUGACAAGAAAACCACCACUGGUGCUGAAGUGACACACCAUCGUCCCUCAGGAGUGCAGACUACCAUGAAGAUUAUGGUUAGUCAUCAAAUCCACCUUAGACAUUUUGUGUUCAUGUUAACUAGAUUAGAGAUCCUAUGGCUUAAUCUCAAUUUUUCUCUAACAUUGUGGCAUCAAGAGCCAUCUAACCUAGUUUAUGCCUAGGAUUAAGUUAACUGGAGGUUGGUUUAAUCUAAUUAGUGCCCUAAUUACUUACUGUUAGCCCCAAUUAGCCAUGUUGAUCAUGUUUUGGCCCUGAACUAAUCAUGCCUAAGUAUUGUCCUUACUGUUCUUCAGAUCAGCUCAAUUUCUUGCAUGUUUAAGGCCUAGGUUUAGUUAAUCAUCAGGGAUUAAUCAUGGACUAAUGCAAAUGUGUCAUAUAACGUGUCCAGUCAAACCUCGGAUUAUGUUAACCGUGGCCAAAUUUCACGUGCAUCAAGGGCCUAGGGUUCGUAUCAACAACAGAAAAGAGUGGAAUCGUUGCGAACUCAAGUCAAAAUACCCAAAAUUUCCAAAAACCUAGAUCUAUUUCGCCCAAAAUUUCUACCCCAAAUUCAGAAAGAAAGCCCUAAUUGAUGAACUUGGGUAUUACAUACCUCGGCCCGCUGCGUAUCAGCGCAUUGCGGCCGCCGUUGCGCGCCAGGGCGCCACCGCAGCUGCCGCCGCGGAUCAGGGCA